GCAAGGCAGAGGUGGGGGGAAGAGAAAAAGGACAAUCAGAAGGAGACAGACCACCUCCUUCUCUGAUGCAUUUUCUAUUAGGCAAUAAUGGACUAAGAGACUUCCAGGAACCAAAGCAAGAAAGGAACUGACAGCCCUCUACAAUAGUUGGUAAGAUUUUUCUCGUCUUAAUCAGUGGCACUUGAAGUUCUCCAAAAUAAAGUUUCAUGUUAAGUAAAAUGAUCACUUACUUGCAGGGAUGAGUUAAAUUUAUUUUAUUUUUAAUAUGAACUUCAUAGCAUCCUAUUGUUUUUAUGCAAGCAAGGCUUUUUGCAACACAGAACAACUUCCAGGUUUGCCUCCAUGGUGUCAAGCCCAUUAUCUGUCGCUUAAAUGUUAGCUAUAGAAGUUGUACUGUGCUUUAUUUUUAUACAUCUUACCUAUUUAGGUCUAGAAAAACUCACGUAGUCUAAAUUUAACCAAAAGGACACACAACAAAACAAAUCUUUCAAGUAUGUUUUAAAUAGACCAAAGUUUUGGAGCCCUAUGUAUUGACUGAAAUAUCAGAACUAUGCACCCACCUAUUUUCAUACCCUGCCACCCCCAAUAUAAGGCCUGCUUUCACUUAUGUGUUGUAACAUGCUUUCAAUGGUUCCAACCAUCUAAUUCUAUUCUGUGACCUGCUCUCACUUGCUGUCUGUACAGUUUUCCUAGGACUUCAAAGCACCAGACAGAUGCACUGUGGUGCUACAAAGGCUGCAUUUAGCAGUCAAAUUGUUUAGACAGUCCAGCUCAUACUUUUAGGUAAAACAAAAAACGAGUGGCCUUCUAGACAAAAACUUCCUGUAAUAUCUUCAGAUUACAUUCAGAUAUAAAUAUGGUUUUGAUCAAUGGGAUUUAGCUUUUUUAGAAAAGGGCGAUUUCCUAUUAACUACAUGAUCUACAGUUGUCUUGUCACUACUACAGUUAUUCUCAACAGAUCCAACCAGGGCUAAGUAAUGGAAAAAAAACAAAACAAAAAACAACCCCUCAUAAACUUUUCCU